AGGCUCAUGGACCCAUUGACCAUUCAUUAUACGCUCAUCUUUGAAGUUGAAUCCUUUAAUAGAUUUCUCCGAGUUAACAGCGGGGUUAGUUGAUUCCUUCACGUCAUUGGAAGUAUCACCUACUUCCUGUGCUCCAUCUCUUUUUUGCUUUGCCAGGGCCCUCUCUACCUCAGUCACAACACGUCCAUACGCAACACCUGCGACUGAACAUUUAACAAACUCCAUGGAGUUGCAUGUUAAGG
rnacentral:misc_RNA from 1 species